rnacentral:lncRNA from 1 species
UUCGGUUCUCCAUACUGAAACAUCUAUGACUAUUACUAUACCAGACUUUCUGGGUGGAACAAUACUAGAAAUUUCAACCAAAUUUCUUUCGAAUACGAUGAAUCCUUUUAAACCAAAACAUCGGCCCUAAUAACUUUCGAUUUAAACUUCUCAACAACUCGAAUUGGGUUCCAUCGAUUAUUUAGCAAGGCUUAUAGCAAUUACAGUGGUUUCCAUCACAACUUCCAUAAGCUUCAUCCCCGUUAGAUACUUUGCACAAUCCUGUGCAUUGCUUUACAUCACACGAUUUAAAGCCGCGAAUCGGCCCUAGGAAACACACUCCAUCGAUCGUUCUUGCAGCAUCCACUCCCAUGUGACCUGUAAUGAAACAUCGGCGAAAUGAAUAUUCGACGCACAUCAAAUGAAUACUCGGCGAACAUCAAAUGAAAAACUCACCGGCGAGGAGUAAGGCCAUGAAGAAGAAAGCAAUGGUGUUGAAGCUCUUCAUAUUUGGGAUAGCCACACAAAGAGUGUUAUUCAACAAAUUUUUAUGAGGUUGAUUGAUUCAAUUGAUGCAAUUCACUAAUUUAUUUAUAUGCACAAAAACUACAUGUUUCCAUAUAUAUAUUAAUUAUAUGUUUUGAUUUUUUUGGUAACACCAUG